CUUACAUUCAUUUUAUUUGAGUUCCUUCUUCAGGAAAGAACCCCCAGACCUCUCAAAAAGUAUCAAAGAACUGAAACUCACCAGGUAACCACCUCCAGACAAUGAGACCAGACCCCUUAUUCAUUCUGAUUGCUUCUUUCCCUUUCUGAGUUCCUGUUGUCCUAUACACGGUUACGUUUCUUCCUUGCUAGAUAAACCCCUAGUUUUAGUCAGUCAGGGAGAUGGAUUUGAGACAGAGCUCCCCUCUCCUCGGCUGCAACACCCAGUUACAGCUUUCUUCCUCAGCAAUACUUGUCAUCUCAGUGAUUGGCUUUCUGUGCAGAGAGCCGCAGGAUCUAGAUGUUUCCGUAACAGAUAUAUGGGGCACGGAGGAUUCUUAGGGCAGUGUUUCCGUAACAGAUAUAUGGGGCACGGAGGAUUCUUAGGGCAGUGAAACAAUUCUGUAUGAUGCAAAAACGGUGGGGACAAGUCAUUAUACAUUUGUCCAAACCCACAGAAUGUACGACACCAGGAGUGAAUUCCAUUCAAUUCCACUUAAUUUUUCUGGAAACCCAAAACUGCUUUUUUUUUUUUUUUUUUUUUUUUUUUUUUUGGAGACAGAGUCUCACUCUGUCACCCAGGCUGGAGUACAGUGGCACGAUCUUGGCUCACUGCUGCAACCUCUGACUUCCAGGUUCAGGUGAUUCUCCUGCUUCCACCACCAGAGUCCUGCCUCCACCACCAGAGUAGCUGGGAUUACAGGUAUGCGUCUCCACGCCCGGCUAAUUUUUCUGUUUUAGUAGAGAUGAGAUUUCACCAUGUUGGCCAGGCUGGUCUCGAACUCCUGGCCUCAAGUAUUUUGCCCGUCUCAGCCUUCCAAAGUGCUGGGAUUACAGGCAUGAGCCACCACGCCCCGCCAUCAAAAUUGCUUUUUAAAAGUGUGUUAAAUUCAAAAAAAGAAGCUAGAGGAAAGAGGGCAGAGGGUGGCAUUCAGGCAGCAGAAGGGCUGUCCUCAUGGUCCUUGUGGUGAGGGGAUGACCUCCUGCUGAAGGCCAGUCCACUGAGCUGGCACCCACAGAGGGGGACCUGGACUGUUUGCAGCUGAACAGCCUGUAGCCAGGGCUAUCAGAAGGCAGGGAGACCUGGAGUGCAUUGACAGUCACCACACAGGUUUCCAGGAACCUUCCCUCCCUUCCCUGAGUCAGCAUUCAUGCAUACAUUCCUUCCCUUAUUCAUUCAAAAUGUUUCUGGCCAGCCUACCAGGCACCCAGCACAUCAGACCUCUGAUCAUUUGCUCAUAGACUCAUUCAUUCAUUCACUUAAUCACUGUCUCUGUCUAGGCAGAAAGCAAACAUCUAGUCCUGCCAGCCCUAGACAGAAUGAUUUCAAACCCUAAUUAGUACUGUGGGGCUUAAUGAGGUUUCCUGGGAUUCUCAUUAUCAGGGAAAUCAUUUCACAAAAGCUGUCCAUGAUACAGUGGGCAGGGGCACCUCAUGCCAGUAAGGAGCCUCUUCCUGAGAUGAGCAACCGAGGAAACACCAAUUAAGCAAGGAAGCUGUGGAAGGGGAUGCCCCGGGCUUCCCAGAGUGCAGAGCAUGGAUGCUUAGCUGAGGGGUGGGGCUGGAACCUGGCUGCCAAAGCAGUUCUGCCAGCAGGAGCAGGGAUGGCCAGGCAGCAGCACAGGUCACUGCCCCGCAUGGUCAACAUGCAUUGCGGAUUUUAGCUUGCGUUUACGGAUGGCUUCUAGCUACAAAAGACACAGUGGCGCUCAGUUGCUCACCUGUGUAUUUUAAGUAACUAAUUCCUAUUCACACACUCAUUCAUUUAGCCAUUCAUGCAGGUUUCAGAUGUUUAAUGAGCAUCUACUAUGUGCCAAGCAGCUUCAUAAUAAACACACACUUAUUCAUAAAUCCAUGCAUCUGUAGACUUCAGAUGUUCAAAUGUUCAUAGAUGGCUUGGGGCUUGCAGGGACAGAUCUUCCAGUGUCACCAGGAGCCUCUGGGAUAGGCGGGAAACGCUUCCUACAGGGGGUGGGGCGGGGGGCGCAUUUGAGCUCCAUGUGGGGAAGGCCCAGGGCAACUCUAAGCUGAGUGCAGAGUCCCAGGUCCCGAAAAUAGUGAGGCUUCCAGGUCACGAGGUUACACCAGCAUCCAUGACGUCAGCAGGCCAGCGGCGGGCCCUUAGCCAUGGAGGUUCAGAUCGUGUGGGUUGUGGGUCCCACGGUCCCAGAGUCAGCCGGGCGCCCAUUGGCUUGGCCUCAGGAUGCCCAGGGACAUGCCUGGUGCAGCUGGGGCAGCAGGAGCUCACUCUACCAUGAAAUAUUCAUGGCUGCUGGCAAAGCCCGGCCCUAAAAUAUAGUUUGCAGAAGAAAAAGAGCCAUCAGGCAUUUAAUCAUUGUGUUAAUGAGGCUCUAUUUGGAAGCAAACUCCAUCUGACUGCGUCCUAGACAGCAAGAGUCAGGGCCCGGCCAACCUGUGUUGCCGGCCGCAGGGGCAGCCUCAUCCCUGAGACACCAGUGGGAGACACGCCCGGGCAAGGCACAGGCUUGGCUCGAGGCCAUGGCCAGCGGCCCUCCACUUCAGGGGAGCCCAUGAGAUUAUAACGGCAUCCUGAGGUUUGCCAAAAAGCAUCCUUUUAAGCAGAAAGCAAGCAACGGCCCUGCAUGGAGGCGCCACAGAUCCAGUCUGGCUGAGCAGGGGCUAGACCAACUCGUUUUCCCUAAGCAGCUUCCUCGGGGGAACCACUACCCCUCCUGCCUCCAGCUCCCCCUGCUGCCCAGGCCGCCGCCACAGACACUGCAAAUUACCAUCCAGACAAGAUUGCCGGGCCCUUUACAAAGCCUGAAGCAGCUCCUGCAGCCGCCGUCAGCGUCAGCAGCCGCCCUUCUUCGCCAGGUGUGCUGAUUGCAAGUCUCUCUGUGCGGCAGGAGGGGACGUCUCCAAAGGGCAGGCGUCCAGUGGCAGCACCGCAGGCCUGUGGGUGUUCCACCUGCAGAGGCCCCAGAGCAGCCCACGGAGGGCCACGGUGGUAUUAUUCCCAUUUCACAGGGAAGAAGCAAGGUCAGAGCUCUUCCCAGAUGGCUCAGUGAGUACAUCAUAGGGACAUGCCCCAGGCCACCAGGCCCCACGGCCUCCAGGGUCCUGGCAAGUCCCCCCAGGGACGGUGGGUGGAGAGGAGGGGUUGCUGGCAAAAAUCAGGGCCCCUGGGGAGCAAUCCUCUCCUGUGGGCUACAGGUCUUCAUCAGGGAUGGACUCAGUGGGUCCCAGGCUCCCUUCUCCAGCUCUGCCAAAUUCCAUCCCACCCGGGAGAUGUGGGGUCCGAGCAAAGGGACCCUUCUCCUCUGUGAACUUAGAGGUCCAUAAAGGACAACGGUCCAGGGCAGCGAGGCACGUCGGGGUGGACAGUGACGAGGGAGCCGCGGCCCAGCCAUCCUGCUGUGGGGGAGACGCCCCAAGGGAUGCACAGUGAGGCCUGGGCAGUGGGAGCUCCAGAAGCUACAGAGCAGGAGCCAUGGCUGCAUGUCCAGAGCCAGGCUUUCCAUUCCCACGCUGCCCACGAUGACGGAGCGGAGGACACAGAGGGAGGAGAAAACGCCCCCUGAGAAGGGGGACAGGGACGACAGAGCCUUGGAGGGAGUUCGGACAGGAGGGAGUGCCCACUGAGCGCAUUUCCUGAAACUUCCAGCUCCCCCUCCCCCGAGUCUUUCCCAGGGCCAAGGCCAUCCCUGGUCACGGAGCCCGCACCGCCUCCUCCCUGCAGCGCCAGGCCCAUGCUGCCCGCCCUUACCCGCUCCUCCCGUCCGGCGCUUGAGAGACGUGGUGUCUGGAAAGUCUGUCCCAUCCCAGCUUCCACAACACCCACUGAGACCCACGCCAACGCGCCCCGCCCACGAGAACCCAGGUCACUCCCGCUUGGUGACUGCGGAAGAACUUUCCGGGUGUCACGUUGGUCCAGUCCCAGCAAUUUAAUCAAAUCUGGAAAUCUGGGCCGGCACCUGGUUCGGGACUCAUCCCCUGUUGCUAGGAAACCCAACUCCUGCGGAUCCCACCCUGCUCCAUCCGGAGACAGUGGGAGAGACCCUCCUGCAGCUGAGGCCAGGGCUGGGGAAUGGCUGGAGAUGGAUGGGGACAGCAGUGGCCUUUGCACUGGCUGACUUCACAGCAGAACUCCCACGAGUGCCGAGAAACAGCGUGUAGGGGCGCUGCUCUCCCUACAAGCCCUUCCAGGCGCUGCAGGUCACUUAGAAGCUUGUGGCGCAUCCCUCGGUACCUCUCUCUGCCUGCGCACCAUAAACACCCAGACUACAGGGCCAUACCUGUCUCUUCUUGGUCUCCCCAGCAUCCUGCAGAUUAGUGGCCCUUCAGACACUUUGCACCCCAGUAGGGGGUGGGGAGGCUGGUGGAAAGUGAGCCCUGUGGCUCCUGGAGAAGCGGCGAGCAGCAGGCAGUGUUACACAAGGGUCCUCCCAACCCAGCUGACCUCACCAGGUCAUUCAUGCAAGAAUGCGGGGCCAAUGGGUUUCUGCCAGGCGUGCCAGGGCUGAGGGCACCCCUGGGUCCUCACAGCCCCCACUGUCCAGGGACAGCAGAGUCCUCCUUCCCUUUGCCAUUUCCAUGUUUCUCAUUUCAAUAAUUCUUGCAGCCCAUGUUGUGUAAAUAAAAUUAUUCUUCCCAAAAAAAUCGUUAGCAGAGCCCGACAUUAAUUCCCCUGCAAUCUGUGUAAUUAACUGCAUGUAAUAUAGGGCAUUAAAGGACCGGUUUGCUAAUCACCACUCCUCCGCUCCACGCACCUAAUUAAAUCUCCUUCCUGUUUAUCCACUUACAGGAUCCUCUGCAAAGAUACCAGGCACCAGGAACACUGUUGUAAUAAAUCUUUGCGUAAUUUUAGAGGGUGCAGUCCCACUCUGUUUCAUUCCCACUGCUGAGCCCCUCCUCCCUGCAGCCACGUCUCCCCAUGACUCGGC
rnacentral:lncRNA from 1 species